rnacentral:rRNA from 1 species
GACGAACGCUGGCGGCGUGCUUAACACAUGCAAGUCGAACGGAAAGGCCCUGCUCUUGUGGGGUGCUCGAUUGGCGAACGGGUGAGUAACACGCGAGUAACCUGCCCUUGACUUUGGGAUAACUUCAGGAAACUGGGGCUAAUACCGGAUAGGAGCUCCUGCUGCAUGGUGGGGGUUGGAAAGUUUCGGCGGUUGGGGAUGGACUCGCGGCUUAUCAGCUUGUUGGUGGGGUAGUGGUUUACCAAGGCUUUGACGGGUAGCCGGCCUGAGAGGGUGACCGGCCACCAUGCGACUGAGAGACGGCCCAGACUCCUACGGGAGGCAGCAGUGGGGAAUAUUGCACAAUGGGCGGAAGCCUGAUGCAGCAACGCCGCGUGCGGGAUGACGGGCUUCGGGUUGUAAACCGCUUUCGCCUGUGACGAAGCGUGAGUGACGGUAAUGGGUAAAGAAGCACCGGCUAACUACGUG